rnacentral:lncRNA from 1 species
GUGUAUUGAUAAGUGUACACGGCCGAUAACUUAUAACUUUCCAUUUUGAACUAUUAGGUGUAUAAUAUACAUCUCUAUCUUGCGUGUCCGAAAGUGAUAUAAUAUAUAGUCAUUACUAAACAUAUACGCUUGUUUAUGAAUAACAUUUCUGGUUAAAAGAAAAUUAUUUAUAAAAAUAUAAAUAAUACCAAAAAAAAAACAACAGAUCUGAUGAAAUAAAAAAAAAAUCCAAGAGUAAAUUUGGUAAAAUGUAAUAUAUACUCGUUGUCAAUGGUGAAGGACAGAUUGGAACAUACCAGAAAUAUAUUGAUUUAAAAAAAAGGUACGCACUUGUCGACCAUUCGUAUAUACGCCUGGAUUAUAAGUUACGGAACUAUAGCGCAAAUUAAAAUAUAUACAUUUAUACAUAGAACAUAAGAAAGAAUACAUAUAUUUUGCGUAAAAUUGGGGUAAAAGUUUUGUAAAAUGAAAAGUCCACGUAUGCCAACAGUAAGUAAUCAUCAAAUGUCGAUAGAUUAUUGUAUACCAAA